GUGCCAGCAGCCGCGGUAAUUCCAGCUCCAAUAGCGUAUAUUAAAGUUGUUGUGGUUAAAAAGCUCGUAGUUGGAUCUCAACAGCCUUGAAGCGGUUAACUUUGUAGUUUUACUGCUUUAUAGGCUGUGCUUUUGCUGGAGGUUUAGGGGUGCUCUUGAUCGAGUGUCUCUGGAUGCCAGCAGGUUUACUUUGAAAAAAUUAGAGUGCUCAAAGCAGGCUAAAAUGCCUGAAUAUUCGUGCAUGGAAUAAUAGAAUAGGAUGUCGAUCCUAUUUUGUUGGUUUUCGGGACUCGACAUAAUGAUAAAUAGGGACAGUCGGGGGCAUUUGUAUUCAAACGACAGAGGUGAAAUUCUUGGACCGUUUGAAGACAAACUACUGCGAAAGCAUUUGCCAAGAAUGUUUUCAUUAAUCAAGAACGAAAGUUAGAGGUUCGAAGGCGAUUAGAUACCGCCCUAGUUCUAACCAUAAACGAUGCCAGCUAGCGAUCUGCCUGCGUUUUUACUGUAGACUGGGCAGGAAGCUUCCGGGAAACCAAAGCAUUUGGGUUCCAGGGGAAGUAUGGUUGCAAAGCUGAAACUUAAAGGAAUUGACGGAAGGGCACCACCAGGAGUGGAGCCUGUGGCUUAAUUUGACUCAACACGGGAAAUCUCACCAGGCCCGGACACUGGAAGGAUUGACAGAUUGAUAGCUCUUUCUUGAUUCGGUGGGUGGUGGUGCAUGGCCGUUCUUAGUUGGUGGAGUGAUUUGUCUGGUUAAUUCCGAUAACGAACGAGACUCUGUCCUGCUAAAUAGUUUCUACUUCUCUUUUGAGUAGAAAUUUCUUCUUAGAGGGACUGGUGACUCUUAGUCACACGAGAUUGAGCAAUAACAGGUCUGUGAUGCCCAAGGC
rnacentral:rRNA from 1 species